CCUACGGGUGGCAGCAGUGGGGAAUAUUGCACAAUGGGCGCAAGCCUGAUGCAGCCAUGCCGCGUGUGUGAAGAAGGCCUUCGGGUUGUAAAGCACUUUCAGCGGGGAGGAAGGCGGUGAGGUUAAUAACCUCAUCGAUUGACGUUACCCGCAGAAGAAGCACCGGCUAACUCCGUGCCAGCAGCCGCGGUAAUACGGAGGGUGCAAGCGUUAAUCGGAAUUACUGGGCGUAAAGCGCACGCAGGCGGUCUGUCAAGUCGGAUGUGAAAUCCCUGGGCUCAACCUGGGAACUGCAUUCGAAACUGGCAGGCUAGAGUCUUGUAGAGGGGGGUAGAAUUCCAGGUGUAGCGGUGAAAUGCGUAGAGAUCUGGAGGAAUACCGGUGGCGAAGGCGGCCCCCUGGACAAAGACUGACGCUCAGCUGCGAAAGCGUGGGGAGCAAACAGGAUUAGAUACCCGAGUAGUC
rnacentral:rRNA from 1 species